ACAGUAGUGGUCUAGCGGUUAAGAUAUCACUUUCCCAUGAGCAUUGGCGCCUGAAUUGGCGAGAUAAAGUGAGGGUCCCGGGUUCGAACCCCGGCUACUGUA